rnacentral:pre_miRNA from 1 species
UCUUAUGGAUAAGCAAAGAAAAUGGUUUCUUGAAAUGGAAUCUACUUUUGGAGAAGAUGCUGUGAA